UAAGGAAUAUUGGUCAAUGGACGCAAGUCUGAACCAGCCAUGCCGCGUGAAGGAUUAAGGCCCUCUGGGUUGUAAACUUCUUUUAUAGGGGAAGAAAUGUGACGGUUCUCCGUCACUUGACGGUACCCUGGGAAUAAGCACCGGCUAACUCCGUGCCAGCAGCCGCGGUAAUACGGAGGGUGCAAGCGUUAUCCGGAUUCACUGGGUUUAAAGGGUGCGUAGGUGGGCAGAUAAGUCAGUGGUGAAAUCUCUCAGCUUAACUGAGAAACUGCCAUUGAUACUGCAGGCCUAGAGUAUAGAUGACGUUGGCGGAAUAUGACAUGUAGUGGUGAAAUACUUAGAUAUGUCAUAGAACACCGAUUGCGAAGGCAGCUAACGAAACUAUAACUGACGCUGAGGCACGAAAGUGCGGGGAUCAAACA
rnacentral:rRNA from 1 species